UUACUUGCCUGGCAGGGGAUAGCAUGAUCAUGAAGGUAUUUUCCCCAGGGUAAGGCUUAUCUAUUGCACUCUGUAUGUGCUGACCCCUGUAAUUUUCCCAAAUGUGCGAAACUCAGCUACAUAAUUUGUGGUAGUGGGGGACUGCGUUCAUGCUCUCCCCUA